rnacentral:rRNA from 2 species
AGUCGAGGGGCAGCAUUUUAGUUUGCUUGCAAACUAAAGAUGGCGACCGGCGCACGGGUGAGUAACACGCUAUCCAACCUGCCGAUAACUCGGGGAUAGCCUUUCGAAAGAAAGAUUAAUAUCCGAUAGUAUAUUAAAACCGCAUGGUUUUACUAUUAAAGAAUUUCGGUUAUCGAUGGGGAUGCGUUCCAUUAGUUUGUUGGCGGGGUAACGGCCCACCAAGACUACGAUGGAUAGGGGUUCUGAGAGGAAGGUCCCCCACAUUGGAACUGAGACACGGUCCAAACUCAUACGGGAGGCAGCAGUGAGGAAUAUUGGUCAAUGGACGAGAGUCUGAACCAGCCAAGUAGCGUGAAGGAUGACUGCCCUAUGGGUUGUAAACUUCUUUUAUAUGGGAAUAAAGUAUUCCACGUGUGGGAUUUUGUAUGUACCAUAUGAAUAAGGAUCGGCUAACUCCGUGCCAGCAGCCGCGGUAAUACGGAGGAUCCGAGCGUUAUCCGGAUUUAUUGGGUUUAAAGGGAGCGUAGGUGGAUUGUUAAGUCAGUUGUGAAAGUUUGCGGCUCAACCGUAAAAUUGCAGUUGAAACUGGCAGUCUUGAGUACAGUAGAGGUGGGCGGAAUUCGUGGUGUAGCGGUGAAAUGCUUAGAUAUCACGAAGAACUCCGAUUGCGAAGGCAGCUCACUAGACUGCAACUGACACUGAUGCUCGAAAGUGUGGGUAUCAAACAGGAUUAGAUACCCUGGUAGUCCACACAGUAAACGAUGAAUACUCGCUGUUUGCGAUAUACAGUAAGCGGCCAAGCGAAAGCAUUAAGUAUUCCACCUGGGGAGUACGCCGGCAACGGUGAAACUCAAAGGAAUUGACGGGGGCCCGCACAAGCGGAGGAACAUGUGGUUUAAUUCGAUGAUACGCGAGGAACCUUACCCGGGCUUAAAUUGCAUUUGAAUAAUCUGGAAACAGGUUAGCCGCAAGGCAAAUGUGAAGGUGCUGCAUGGUUGUCGUCAGCUCGUGCCGUGAGGUGUCGGCUUAAGUGCCAUAACGAGCGCAACCCUUAUCUUUAGUUACUAACAGGUCAUGCUGAGGACUCUAGAGAGACUGCCGUCGUAAGAUGUGAGGAAGGUGGGGAUGACGUCAAAUCAGCACGGCCCUUACGUCCGGGGCUACACACGUGUUACAAUGGGGGGUACAGAAGGCAGCUACCUGGCGACAGGAUGCUAAUCCCAAAAACCUCUCUCAGUUCGGAUCGAAGUCUGCAACCCGACUUCGUGAAGCUGGAUUCGCUAGUAAUCGCGCAUCAGCCAUGGCGCGGUGAAUACGUUCCCGGGCCUUGUACACACAAAACCGUCAAGCCAUGAAAGCCGGGGGUACCUGAAGUACGUAACCGCAAGGAG